AUGCAUGUGGAUUGCAUUGCAUACAUGUACUGGUUAUUGCUUUAGCGCGAGUCAACUAAUACUGCAUCGCGUCUCACAAAACCUAUUUGUAUGUCACGUUUCAGGAAUUAUGCAGAAUUAGGUAUAAUAUAUAUAUAUAAAUAUUAUUGUGGAGUAUGAAUAUCAUUUCGUUAGCAGGCAAGUUGUACUGGAGUUUAAUUUUUAGCGUGGAUAAAGAAAGGUAGGGGCAGGGCCAGACGAAGAGAAAUUGUUGCUAGCUCUCUGUUCAUGUGUAUUUUUAGAUACUUACCGUAUACUCUUAGCUUUUUCUCUCGCGUAAGAACUUUUACAACGGAUAUCUCUUCGUCUGGCCCUCUGGAAGGUACUUAGCUACAUAUAGAUACCGAUAAAGCUUGCUACUUACUGCUCUUAUAAAUUGACGUAAAAAAUAGUCCAUAUGUGAUUAAGGUUAGUUGCGGUUUUGAUGCCCUCUUGUCUCAUUCAUGCAUCUUUAUAAUCAUUACAUUUUUACAAUAGCAAUAGAAUUUACAUUCGUAAGCACAGCAGACUUCUUUGAACCCUGCAAAAGAGAAAAAGCUGACAGAGUAAAACUCAUGAAUAUUCACGAGUGACCACAAUACCUAACCUUAAUCACAUUCCUUGUUUGUAAUUGUGAAGUGCUCUGUACAUGUAUGGCUGAUAACGCGUUUGAUCUAAAUACCGAAUACCGGUAAUUUUCGGGGGGAAAAUAUUCGUGUUGAAGCUCUCGCCACACGAAUAUUUACCCACGGAUGAAGCGACCUUGACUACCUUUACCUACAGUGCAAUCAGCAACCACGAAAAUAUUAUCCACGAAAUAUCUAAAUAAUAAUAAUUAUUAUUGCUGAACCACGUAUAUUUCCCCCGAAAAGUACCCGCUUAUGUCAUUUUUAUACGUACAAUGAAAGAUGUUAGCAAGCACUUAGCGGUUUGAAUUGUGUUUUGUUUUCAUUAUUAUUGUGUGUGUUUAUCAUACCUCCCUAUGUUAAGAGUGAAUGUUUUGUUUUUGUCGUACUAGCACGUAUGUCUACAUGAGUAUUACCAAGACUAACGUUUAACAUGCAUUAGCACGUACAUACUGUACGUAUGUAUAGCUUAUAUACAUGUACACUCCGUUAUUUCAUGUCGAUAAACUUUAUGAUAGGUAGUGAUCAUUAUGAUCAUUAUAAGAAACUUUAUAAGAUAGGUAGUGAUCAUUAUAAGAAAUUUUACCGUGGUCCAAAGAAACCUUAAGCCACAAUUUUUGUGCCAGUCUGUGGACCAUAGUACUAGUAUAGUAAUUGUUAGCAUUUUUCAUGGAAUUUGGAAUUCAAAUUUACUCGGAUCAUUGUUAUCUGUACCACGAUGUGCCCUGAUACUAUGGAGUGUAUUAAGCUCGUGUACUGUAGCAUGGGCAAUUCCGUGUAAGCUGAACCAUUCGGCCGUCAGUAUUUGCAAUGUAUGCACACAAUACAGUAUUAGCCUAGACAACAGAAACUAAUUACAUAUCGAAAACCUAUAAUUAUAUGCAUGCAUUAAUUUAGCUUCGAAAUGAUGUAUUUUUAUCAUUUUUAUAGUCGAAUGUUCAUACGAUUUCAUGUUCUUGUAUAUCCAUCACAGAAAUAGUAAUUAGAUUUGUAGAAGCUAUUUCUUUUACCCUGUAUAAAAAAUUAUACGUAAUAGGUAUAAUUAUUCCAACGUUAGUUAUUCCAUGCAACAUUAAUUUUGAAGCCACUCCUUGGCGGAAACCAUAGAACACAACCAUAAUUAUAGUGAAAGGCAGUGGGUUACAAUUAGCUUUGUCUUUUAAGGUCACUAAUUUGAUUUCUCCAACUUAUGUAAGCUUAAAACGUUACUACCGUAAGAUCUCGAUUUAAAACGACACUUUUCAAUAAUUACAAAGCCAGAGAUCGCUUCUUUUGGAGAUUGACAAAUUAUAUUGAAGUCCUGGUGUCGCAUAUUUAGAGGGUCGCAUCUAAUUGGAGGUAACUUUACAGAGUCUACUUGCCUCGAUUUCAGGCUGCUUAAAAACACUUGAUUUUCCAGUGGGCUACAAUCGAGGCUAGGGAGUGGCUACAUUUACCUCUAUUUAGAACGCGACAUUAAAAAAUAAUUGUCAACGCAGCUGUCGCUACUUUUAGAGGUCAGAAAAUUGCUGAAGCUCCUGGGUGUUGCAUAUUUGGAGGGUCGCCUUAAAUCGAGGUCUUACGGUAUUCUUUUUUUUUUAUAGAGAGUGCAUGCCAUCUUCUAUAAAACAAGUAAAAGCUAAGUUUGCAGCCUACUUUCACUCUUAUCUGACAGGUUUUUCUGUUGAAAGUGCUCCUUUUCUAGUGGUGGCUAUCUCAAGCAGACAGUUUGAAAUUUCAUUAACUUUCAUGUAAAAAGAACAGGAAGUGUAGUAUAGAGAAGUUACAGAGGAUUGAAAAGUGAUGAUUAUGCCUCGGUACGCGGUGCGCAUGUGCAAGCGAGGUAUACGGUAGUGUGUUUGUGUGUGUGUGUAGACUGCUACAGGUACUCAACGAUCAAUGGAGUGCAAGUAUAGGUUUCUAGUCAUGUUUUCAUUCGUGGAUUUGCAAAAUAAUGCUUCGUUCUCGAGUUAUGCAUACUUGGAGUGCCAUUGCAACCUUUUUAGAAUGGCCUAUUGCACGUGUCAUGCAAGUGUAUCCUGGAAAGGACGGUUUUGUUCAUAUCGUGUAAACUCACUUUCUUAUCAAUGUCUAAAAAUUCUCCAGUAGCACCAGAAAAGCAUUGCUCUAUAGCCCUCCACUGAUGAUUUCAAGGUUUGAUUCUCCACUGCCACCCUGUCCCUUUCUAUUGAUCCUGUAGUGUGUACUCCAGUGCUCUGGUGCUCUAGUUUGUCUGUUUUUUGUGAUAUCUGAGUGUACUCAUAUGGAUGCUAAUAAUUAUGCCUCGAGGCGUAGCCGCACGAGGGAUACGGUAAAGCUGACUGUGUGUGUCUGUGUGUCUGUUCCAGCUGUAACUGCUCAAUGGUUGCGCUUCUAUAGGCUUCUAGCCACGUUCUGUUGGAUUUUGAUUCGUGCAUUAGCAAACUAAAUCUUCUUUCUCGAGUUAUGGCUAGUUUGACUCACAUUGAAGGCUGUUGCAGUCUCUUUAGAAUUUUCGCAGCAUCAUCUGUUCGCACAAACUUUCUAUUCAACUUAUAAGUUAGCCUUGCACUAAUUUAAAAGCGCUAGCUUUUUGUUAGCUACAAGAGUCAGAAGGAGCGAAGCUUGCUAUUUUAGUAGAUCUAGCCAUUAUAGAGCGUUUUCAUGUGACGUCACAGUCAUGUGAAAAUCAACUUGUCUACCAUUUUGGAGUACAGCUGAACUCUGUUUAUAUAGCUAGCUGCCGAGUUUUAAGAUGUUCCAAGCGCUCCGGACAAGAUAAAGGCGUCUUAUUUUACAGUACAGGACUCCUAAAAGCAAGAGUAUAAUCUUACGAAGAGAGAAGAGGUGGCUUCUUAUCCCUAUAUUUGGAGAGACCUGAAAAGUACAGUGUUUUUACUGGAACAGACUGCUCCUCUCACUUGAUGGUCAAAGUCAUGUUGGUCCUACUCGAGCACAAGAAGACAUGAAACUAGAAAAUGGCACAGCAACACAAACUGAUUUAACGAUCCCCGGCCGGACAGAAAAUGCAAGAACAGCUGGAAGGGCGCUACAAGUUAUUGAAUAUCCAAGUUUAAGUUUCACAGCAAUGACAAUGUUUGUAAAGUAUUAUUCUGGUCUGUAAGUACAAUGUUGGUGUCUUUUUCUAUAUAAUGGUUCUGUUCUGUAACAUGUUUAGCAAUUAUCUUUUGAUGUAUUAAACCCUUUCAAGUUGGAGGGGGGGGGGGGGCGUGUAAGUGACAAGUAUCUCACCGAGCUUGUUAGAUUGUGAUAGCCGAUAGAAGUUUUGAUAUUUUAAACUCUGUGAGUGUGUAAUGAUGUGUAAUAAAUAUAAUUAUCCCCUGCUUUUACGAGGGGGGAAAGACCCAAAUGAUACUGAAUGUAAGAUACAUGGAAAUUAAAUGAGUCGUAGGAAACAUGAUUUUGUAUGUAAUGUGUGGGAGAAGACUGCUCACUUAUUAUGCCUCGAGGCGGCCGCACGAGGGAUACGGUAAAGCUGACUGUGUGUGUGUGUGUGUGUGCGCGCGCGUGCGUGCGUGUUCUAGCUGUAACUGCUGAACGGUUGCAAUGCGACGAAAGCUAACAGCUUCUAUAGGCUUCUAGCCACGUUCUCUUGGAUUUUGAUUCGUGGAUUAGCAAACUAAAGCUUCUUUCUCGAGUUAUGGCUAGUUUGACUCACAUUGAAGGCUGUUGCAGUCUCUUCAGAAUCUUUCAUAGCAUCAUCUGUCCGUACAAACUUUCUAUUCAACAUAAUGAAUUAGCCUUGCACUAAAGCGCUAGCUUUUUGUGAGCUACAAGACUCAGUUAAAACAGCUAGCUAGCAGUGCAGUAGCCAUUUGUGAAAUUGAUCUCUUUGGACACAAAUCCUCCUGGCAGAAUCAUAUUUUUCUUGAGGGCCUGGUAAGCCACAAAACACUACCAUAUAUAAGAUAACAUGUACACAAGUCUUUUCUUCUUAGAUAUUAAAAUUAUACACUGAACUACAGAUCCUGGAAGAAUCAAUUUUCUUCUUUCAGAGAAAAGAAAACACAAAGUCCAAGAAAUUAUCACACAGGCCAAUUUUGCUGGUAACCUUGCCUUGGUUUUCUGAAACAAAGUACCUGAUAGAUAGCUGCUCUGUAAGAGUAUGACCUACCAUCCUUUGGGAAGUUUCUGCUACAUCUGACAUCGACACAAGUGACAAGCAACGAAUAGAGUCAAGAGUCCACUUCUUCAUGUUCAUUCUCUUGUCAUGCUUUAAUCAUACUCAGCAUUAGUUUAUAACAUUGUUGUUGUCAAUGAAAUGUUCACACUAUGUAUUAAAAUGAAAAUACAUUAAAUAAAAACCUCGAUUUGAGGCCGCGGGUGGGCGUAUAUUCGAAUGAAAACCUACCGUUCGCGAUUAAACGCCCAGUCCCCUAAUAAGCCUAGACUUCUUGCAGAAAAGGGUGGGCGUAUUUUCGCGAGGGUACGG